rnacentral:rRNA from 1 species
UACAGAGGGUGCGAGCGUUGUCCGGAAUCACUGGGCGUAAAGGGCGCGUAGGCGGCCCGGUAAGGUUGCGGUGAAAGCCCGGGGCUCAACCCCCGGGUCGGCCGUGGCAACUGCUGGGCUGGAGCACAGUAGAGGCGGGUGGAAUUCCGGGUGUAGCGGUGGAAUGCGUAGAGAUCCGGAAGAACACCGGUGGCGAAGGCGGCCCGCUGGGCUGUUGCUGACGCUGAGGCGCGACAGCGUGGGGAGCAAACAGG